rnacentral:tRNA from 1 species
GGGGGUGUAGCUCAGUUGGGAGAGCACCUGCUUUGCACGCAGGGGGUCAGGAGUUCGAAUCUCCUCAUCUCCA